rnacentral:rRNA from 1 species
CCUACGGGGGGCUGCAGUGGGGAAUAUUGCACAAUGGGGGAAACCCUGAUGCAGCGACGCCGCGUGAGUGAAGAAGUAAUUCGUUAUGUAAAGCUCUAUCAGCAGGGAAGAAAAUGACGGUACCUGAGUAAGAAGCCCCGGCUAACUACGUGCCAGCAGCCGCGGUAAUACGUAGGGGGCAAGUGUUAUCCGGAUUUACUGGGUGGAAAGGGAGCGUAGACGGCAGUGCAAGUCUGGAGUGAAAGGCGGGGGCUCAACCCCCGGACUGCUCUGGAAACUGUACGGCUGGAGUGCAGGAGAGGUAAGUGGAAUUCCUAGUGUAGCGGUGAAAUGCGUAGAUAUUAGGAGGAACACCAGUGGCGAAGGCGGCUUACUGGACUGUAACUGACGUUGAGGCUCGAAAGCGUGGGGAGCAAACAGGAUUAGAUACCCCUGUAGUC